AUGCAUAUGGCUUUUCUUUUACAACUUCAGUUUCAAGAGAUUGAGCAGAGUUUCUCGAUACUAAUUACUCUUAAAAUCAACGAUUUGGUGAAGCAGUGCUCCUCCUAGCCAAGAAUCAUGCAUCAGAACCCUUCUUUCUUCUACAUCCUCUGGGACUUCAUUCUAUCAAUUUGCUCUUCUUUUUUUUUGUCUUCAACCUCCAUCUUUUUGUGAUGAUAAUUAAGUACUCACAUGUACACACAUUCAAAAACACAGAAAUAAGGUGCUUUUGUUUUGUGGAGACACUUUUUCCUUUUCCAAUUCUAACAGGUAUGCAUGUUUGAACUGCUUUAUUUCAAAAGAAUAAAACAAGAUUUUCAAAUAUAAUUAAGCAUAUUAAAAAAGCGUAAAAUAAUACUUUUAAUAAAAUUCAUAUCAUAUUUAGGUACAAUAAACAGUAUUUGCCAAAUAUGUUAAUGUAUUUUUCAUCUCAUUUUUCUAUUUUAUGUCUGUAAUUUAACUAUUGUUAGUACUCUAGCACAUAUAUGCAUUUUAUAUAUUUUUUAUUAAUAGUGGUGCACAAUUGAAAUUUUGGUAACUAUUGAAUUAAAGAAAAUUGGUUUCAUAUAAUAUCUUCCUGCAAUAUUUGAAUACAUAUAAAAAUCCUUACCAAAAGCUAAGACAUAAAUCUAUGUACCUCUAUUUUUAAUCCAAAGUCAUUUUAUAAGUUGAGAAAGUAAUUGAAAAUGUAUUUUUCCUGUAAAGAAAUGCACUAAGCAUUUUUUUCAUAUAAAAUUUAAUGAGUCAAUUGCUAAGCAAAUAUUACCAUUGGGGGUGAAGGACAUAUGAGUUCUAUCUGUAUUAUUUCUUAUAACUGCUUAUGUAUCUACAAUAUCUCAAAAUAAAAAGUUAAAAUUAAUGAGUCAAAAGUUAUCAGGGUUGAAUUUUUGAUUCCUACAGGUUGCAUGAAUAAUAUUAUCAGAUAAUAUACACAAGAUCAGAGUUGCAAGAUAAUAUUAACUUUAUCUAAAUGUUCAUGAAUAGUUUCAGAUAUAUCUUUUGAAACUGACUAUUUUAAUGUACAUGUAUUGUAAUACAAAGGUAGAUUAAAAGUUAUUCUAAAAAUUGAGUGUACAGAGUAGAAUGUUCAAAAUCUCUCUCACCAAGCAUUAUUCAUAAUUCCAGUCCUUUUCUCAGAAAAAGCCACUGUUACUCAUUAUAUUUGUUUUAUUCAGUACGAGUGUUUUCAACAUAUUUUUUGGUCACUACAAUAAAGAUUAAUAUGCUUAACAGCUAUAUCACAUUUAACAUCUGCUUGAAUUGGAUGUGCCAUAAAUCACUUAACCAUUUUUCUAUUAAUAAAAUUACAUUAAUAUCCAAUAGUUUAUUAUUACAGUAAAAGAUGCAAUUAAACAUUUCUACAUAUCUUUUUGUCUAAAUGUAAAUAUAUUUCCAUAGGAAAUCAAACUGUUGAAUUUUGAAUAUUUACAUUUAAGUUCUGAGGGCUCUCAAAUUGUCCUCCACAACAUAUUAAUAGAACUUUAUGAAAGUAUAAUUUUCCCCACAUACUGUUAAAUGUAAUAUUAACAAAUGAAGAGUGAUAACAUGGUGGGCAAACUAUUAGAUAUUUUGGUUAUUUUAAUUUCAUUUUACUGAUUACUAAAGGUAUUUGGCAUUGUUCAUAUGCUCAUAGGCCAUUUGAGUUACUUCUUCUGUGAAUUGCUUGUGCAAUUCCUCUACUUAAUAAUCUAUUGUCUUGCUUGUGGUAGUUCUUUUUUCUGUGUACAUUAAUCAUUUUAUAAUGAUAUGUUUCAAACAUUUCUCUUAGUUUUUUCCUGUACAUUGUUAAAAUAUUUAGAGAUGACCUG
rnacentral:lncRNA from 10 species